AGAACGGAAGGAUACACCAGAGAUUAUUCACUGUGAAGGGUCUAAGGCAGCUGAAAUGGAGAAACCUGGAGAAUAUGGACAUUGGGGACAUCAUCACCCAUUCCUGGGCUUAGGAAACAAUCAAUUUUGCUCCUGAUGAUUCCUGGAUUAUCCCUGCAGUUUUCUUUACAAGAUUUUCAGAAAUGGUUUGCCCUUGCCUGCUUCCCUGGGGCUGAGAGAAAGUGACUAGCCCAAGGCCACCCAGCUGGUUAUCUCUUAGAUAACAUGUUGGUCAGCAAGCAACAACCUACCUGAUGGCUUUGCUUGAACAGUUGGCGCUGCCCACAUCAUUAAUGAAAAACUUAAGAAAGUUUGGGAAAAACCCCUCUAACUCAGAAUGUCUGUGUAUACCAGUGGGUACAAAUUUUGCUCUGUUCCGUUUUUUGUGCUCUCCUCCUGUACCAGUGAAAAUACACUUUCCAAAAAAAGAACAGAAUGUAUUGUUCCAUUAAAAUAUGCAGAAAAUGUUUUCUUAUUCAAUAACAGAUUUUGUACAACUCAAGGCAUAUUACAUAAAGCGCCCAUCUCUUGAAGGAGGUUGGACAGAGAGAGACCAAAUGGCCCAAAGUCACCCAGCAGGCUUUCGUGCCUAAGGGAGGACUAGAACUCCCAGUCUCCCAUUUUCUAAUACAGCACCUUGAUCAUUACAGUACACCAAACUGAUUUUUUUUUUUUUUUUGGCCUGUUGUCUCAGUUAAAAUAGCUUUUCUGGUGAGUAUAAAUAUAUAAUUUCAUGGAACAGAGUAAGCAGUCCAUUGUAAUUUGCUAGUUAGAAAAAGAAGAAAGAUUUAUUGCAUUCGGUUACAACUUGCAAAAAUGAAAGGAAGCCAUGCUUAUCCUCUAAUAAAAAACCUCUUCUUUGGAAAUGGGCAUUUUAUUGAGCAUGCAUUUAUGCUUUUCCACUGUUCCCACUGUGAUUUCUUCUUUUUUAAAGCGGUUUUAAAUUUGCACAUCACUCUAGAGAGGUUUUGCUCACGGGUAGCCAAUGACUAUCUUAGCCAAACAAACGUACGGAAUUACAGAUAAAUGGAAGAUGGAUGAAUUAUUAAAAAGCAAAGGCAGUGGCUGUUGGUGUUUAAGAAACAACGUAAAAUUUACAUUGAUCAAUAUCUUUAUUAGAAAUAACUAAAGCAUUACAAAAUCAGGACCCACUGCGGCUCCUAGAAAUGUUCAGCAGCUUGAAAGUUAAAAAGGAACAAGAGUUACUUUGAAGUAAGUAAGAAGAGUUACCUUGAAGGUCCAUAAAUAUUAUAAAUAAAUAAAUAAAAGGACCGGGGGGGGGGGGGAAUCUAGUCUGUUGUUUAAGUCCUAAAGUCCACAUUGAACAGUAAUGUCCUCCAAGUGGUAGUAAUUCUCUCAUAUACUUUUUCAAGCAAUGUCACCAGGUAGACCAGAUCUGAUGGAAUGUGCACGGGGAGAAUCAGUGGACGGAAGUGCUGGCAACACAGAGCUUUUCCAGAUUAAGAGACUCUGCAAUCCCAAACUGGAUGAAGACAGGAGGAAAUGGUUCAGGAUACCUACAGUACACCCUAGCCUAGAAUCUCUCAAGAUACAUCUAGUAGGUUAGAAGGUAACUGUUAUGUCCCGAGCCUUGCAAACGGCUCGGGCGUUUGCAGGCAGUCCCGGGC